CAGGGAGACAACAAAAUGUUUAAUAUUAUUAUUUUGUCACCUUAGGUCGAUCGGUAUCUCACGUUCUUAAUUUAUUAAGAAUUUCAUUUCCUAAGUUUUUCUAGGUCACACCCAUUUUUUUUCCUGGGCCAUUAGCUCAGGUGGUUAGAGCGCACCCCUGAUAAGGGUGAGGUCCCUGGUUCAAGUCCAGGAUGGCCCAUAUCUCUAUGUUGGGGGUAUAGCUCAGUUGGUAGAGCGCCUGCUUUGCAAGCAGGAUGUCAGCGGUUCGAGUCCGCUUACCUCCACUGAUUACCACCUCUUCCAUAAUCUGUAGAAAGGAAAUUUUUUGAGUUGUGACCAAAUCCUGAACGAAUCUAGCUUCCUAAUGUAAUCAUUAAGAUGCUGGACUCAUUGAUUUAUUUCAUUGUUUUCAGAGAACCUUGACAACUGCAUAGAUUAUUUUUAAAGACAAUAAGCAUCUUUAUUGAUGCAGAUUUAUUAUUUGUGCGAAUGCAUUAAUAACAAUUCUAUUAAGCUGAUGCUUCAAUUUUGAAGUUAUU
rnacentral:tRNA from 1 species